GACGAACGCUGGCGGUGUGCUUAACACAUGCAAGUCGAGCGGUAAGGCCCUUUCGGGGGUACACGAGCGGCGAACGGGUGAGUAACACGUGGGUGACCUGCCUUUAGCUCUGGGAUAAGCCUGGGAAACCGGGUCUAAUACCGGAUAUGACUCCGCGGCGCAUGUUGUGGGGUGGAAAGCCUUGUGCGGCUGGAGAUGGGCCCGCGGCCUAUCAGCUUGUUGGUGGGGUGAUGGCCUACCAAGGCGACGACGGGUAGCCGGCCUGAGAGGGCGACCGGCCACACUGGGACUGAGACACGGCCCAGACUCCUACGGGAGGCAGCAGUGGGGAAUCUUGCGCAAUGGGCGAAAGCCUGACGCAGCGACGCCGCGUGAGGGAUGACGGCCUCGGUU
rnacentral:rRNA from 1 species